GACGAACGCUGGCUGCGUGCUUAACACAUGCAAGUCGAACGAUGAUGCUGGAGCUUGCUCCAGUUGAUUAGUGGCAAACGGGUGAGUAACACGUGAGCAAUCUGCCCUUGACUCUGGGAUAACUGCGGGAAACUGUAGCUAAUACCGGAUACUGUCACCGGAAGGCAUCUUCUGGUGAUGAAAGAAUUUCGGUCAGGGAGGAGCUCGCGGCCUAUCAGCUUGUUGGUGAGGUAACGGCUCACCAAGGCGACGACGGGUAACCGGCCUGAGAGGGUGACCGGUCACACUGGGACCGAGACACGGCCCAGACUCCUACGGGAGGCAGCAGUGGGGAAUAUUGCACAAUGGGCGCAAGCCUGAUGCAGCAACGCCGCGUGAGGGAUGAAGGCCUUCGGGUUGUAAACCUCUUUUAGCAGGGAAGAAGCGAAAGUGACGGUACCUGCAGAAAAAGCACCGGCUAACUACGUGCCAGCCGCCGCCGUAA
rnacentral:rRNA from 1 species